rnacentral:lncRNA from 1 species
CUUUCUCUUAUGUGUUAUGCUCUCUCUAUGAGUAUGUUCUUGUCUCUUUUUCUUUAGGUGAUAUUUUUUGGUGGUGUUGUUAUUUUUUUUUUUGGGUAAUAUGACUAUGUUUAGUGAGUGAAGUAUAAAAACAAAUUCUAAAUUUUUUAACGAGAACUUAUAAUUCUAUCAUCAUAUUCUAUAAAACGAGAUAUAAAUCAGUUUUUAAAAAAAAUUACUUUUUUCAUCUUGAAAAAUUAAUUUUAGGAGGGAGUGACACAAGUUUGAAUAACAUCAAAGGUAGUUGUUAAUAAUUAUAAUUAAUUGUAUUGUGAAUGAAAAAAAAA